UUUUUGUUUGCACUGACGAUGCAUACAAGUUAAUUUCUAUAUUGCCCUUGAACUUUGUAAUAUAUUGUAGAUUUGCCCCCACUUUAUAUUGUUGAGGUCAAAUUUAUCAUCAUCAUUAUCAAUAAUUUAUUUUAAAAUAACACUAUAUAUAGAUGGUUCUUGGUGCAUGUUAUGUAACACGUGCUAACUUGCACCCUGACGUGAUGGCAAGACGAGGAAGACAACAGCAAAGUCACCAGUGAUGCCGGAAGGUUUGGAUACUACUGCUAAAGAACACCAAGGACGAACAAUAACACCUGAUGCUGGUCUACUCCACAUUCUUGCCCUAUUGAAACGGGGUAGCUGGUUACUAGUAAAGGAAAAGAUUGAGACGAUGAUUCUAGUGCCUAAUGAUGAAGCCAACAUCUCGAAGAAUCGAUCGGAGAUGGUUCUUGGUGCAUGUUAUGUAACACGUGCUAACUUGCACCCUGACGUGAUGGCAAGACGAGGAAGACAACAGCAAAGUCACCAGUGAUGCCGGAAGGUUUGGAUACUACUGCUAAAGAACACCAAGGACGAACAAUAACACCUGAUGCUGGUCUACUCCACAUUCUUGCCCUAUUGAAACGGGGUAGCUGGUUACUAGUAAAGGAAAAGAUUGAGACGAUGAUUCGAGUGCCUAAUGAUGAAGCCAACUUCUAGAAGAAUCGUUCGGAAGACGAACCUGUGAUCUCAAAUACGGUGCGGAAGCUAAGCUUUAUUACUCCACAUGUGGAAGUAACCUUGCCACCUCCAGUAAAAUAAAUUCCAAUUGAAGGUAAUCAUCAGAUCCAAAAUGGCUUGCAACUCACUUACAUUCCCCCUAUAAUGAAAGAUGGUCGAAAGGUGGUAUAAAUUAGUUCAACGGAGGUGAAAGCUGAGUGUCAUAAAUUGGAAAAUGCUCUAAUAGGACAUGUAAUGGGGCUACUCCAAGCUUUAAGGAUAUAAUCAAAUUUGUCUAUAGUGUGUGGAAUUAUGUGGAAGCACCUAGGGUUUAUCACCAUGAUGAGGGUUAUUUCAUAUUCUUAUUUGCCACAACUGAAGAUAAUUCCUAAACUCUGCAAAAUGGCCCUUAUACAUAUAAUAACAGACCUAUGAUUUAGAGGAUUUGGGAGAAGAACUUUAAAUUUACUCCUGAGAUGCUGCAAAUUGUUCCUCUAUGGGUUACAUUACUAGGGCUUCAAGUUUAUUAUUGGUCAAAGGAGAAUUUGAGUAGAAUUGCUAGCAAAAUUGGGAAGCCAAUUUGUGCCAAUCGAUUGACUGCAGAGAUUGAACGUAACUCAUUUAUGAGACUCUUUAUAGAAGUGGAUGUAACUCAGGCUCUACCCACAGAAAUCUAUAUUGAAGAGGAAGGUUCGAUCCGAACUCAACAAGUGGAUUAUGAUUGGCAUCCUAUAGCAUGCCCUGACUGUGAGAAGUGGGAUCAUGAACAAGGUGCCUACACAUAGGAAAAGAAUGAACCAAGAAUAGAACCAGAGUUAAUCAGACCCCAAGCUCCCAGAAAAAGAAGAUUCAAACAUAUGUAGUUGCCUCAAAAUACCAAGAUAAAUGUCCAAGAGACUACUUUGCAGAAUAAUAAGAAAGGUGGUGACAUUGGUGAGAAUUUGAACUGUACACAUCAAGGGCCCGAUGGGAAGUCAGCAACUUCAGAAGGAGAAAAGGUAACACAGAGGACUAUACCAAAGGAGCAAAUUGAAGCGCUAAACAGGGCUAAAUCACCUGAUUAGGGGCUUCUAAAUGAUAAUAAGUGCCUGGAACAUUAGAGGGCUAAAUAAGCCCUUUAAGCAGAAGGAACUAAAAGCCUUUCUGCUAAAGUAUAAGGUGGAUAUAAUAGGUGUUUUAGAAACAAAAAUACAGGCUCAUAAUGCUGAUAUAUUAAAGAAAGUGUGUUGCAAGGAAUGGAAUAUUUUUACAGAUUAUCCUACUACUUUGAAUGGUAGGUUAUUGUUAUUGCAGAGGGGGAAAAAGGUUAAGGUUACUGUGAUAGAUACUGCAGCACAUUUAAUACAUUGCAAAGUUGAAGAUAUAGACACUACCUUUUACAACAACAUGACUUUUAUUUAUGGACAUAAUACUAUGACUGAAAGGAGUCUGUGGAGCCACUUGAAGUCUUUAGCCAAGCAAUGUAAUGAGCCUUGGAUUAUACUAGGGGAUUUCAAUGCAGUGUUGUCACACUCUGAUAGACUGAAUGGAGAGUUGGUCACUCCCCAAGAAACUAAAUACUUUCAAGACUACUUGGAUGAGAUAGAGAUGGGACAAAUGUUGUGCAUGGAGAGACAUAUGACUUAGUGUAAUAAAAGAGAUGGAGUGGCUAGAAUUUAUUCACACAUUGACUGGGUGUUUGGGAAUAAAUAUCGGUUUUAGCACUAUAAUUACAUUGAGGCAGAAUAUGUUGAACCGGGUUGUUCUGAUCAUUCACCAGUACUGCUGACUACUAAAACCCAACAUUCAUAUUUAAGAAAACUUUUUAGGCUACUAAAUGUAAUGCUACAUCAGGACAAAUUCAAAGGCAUGAUGGAAGACGUAUGGAAUAUGCAAAUACAAGGGCAUGUUAUGUAUAAAAUCCGGAGAAAAUUACGUAUAUUAGCCUAGAGAUCAAAGCAGCUGCACUCAAGAAAGGAUUAUCCUUCAAGAGUUAGAGAAAUGGGAGGAGGCCUAUGAAAGAGAACUGAAGCAAAAAUCCAGAGCCACCUGGAUUAAGCUUGGUGAUAGGAACUCCAAAUAUUUCGUUGCUCAUUUGAAGGUAAGGCAAGCAAGAAAUAGAAUAGCUUCAAUAUAUAAUUAGCAAGGGAUUAAUCUCUCAGACCCUGCACUAGUCCAACAAAAGUUUAUCUAGUUUUUUUAAAGUCUACUGGGCACAACAACACCUACCCUUCCUAGAAUUGAUUUGAGAGUAGAAAGAGAUGGACCUUGCCUUAUAGUGCUCCAAAAAGAACAACUGCUAUCUCCAGUAACUAGAAAAGAAGUAGAACAAGCUCGGAAGGAUCUCCCUAUUGACAAAAGCCCAGGUAUUGAUGGUUACAAUGCUGAAUUUUUCAAAACUUAUUGGUCUGUUAUAGGAGAAGAGGUGAUUACUGGAAUAAUUCAAUUUUUUGAAAAUGGUAAACUAUUGAAAGGUGUCAACACUACUACAAUUACCCUUUUCCUAAAAGUUUCUUCCCCAUCUUAUGAAAAGGAAUAUAGACCAAUUGCUUGCUGCGCUACCUUAUAUAAACUGAUUGCUAAAAUAUUGACUGCUAGACCCAAAACAGUGGUGGAUUUUCUGGUCAGCUCUAUUCAGUCAGCCUUUAUUGAAGGUAGAAGCAUCCUUGAAUUAAUGGUGGGUUGACUCCACAGUUUCAAGCAAAAAAGGGACUGAGACAAGGAGAUCCCAUGUCUCUCUAUUUAUUUGUCCUAGCUAUGGAGUACCUUCAUAGAAAUUUUCAAUAAGUAAGGCAUAAUCUACAAUUCAAUUACCAUCCAAGGUGUGAAAAGUUAGGUAUUAUUCAUAUUUUUUUUCUGAUGACCUGCUAAUGAGUUGUAGGGCUAAUGAUAUAUCAAUUAAAUUGUUGUUCAAUGCAUUCCAGCAAUUCUCUGAAGUGUCAGGUCUUCAUGCCAAUAUGGAGAAAAGUCCACUAUAUAUUGCUGGGGUAGAAGAUGAAUUUAGAGACAAAAUGCUGACUGAUUUAGGUCUAUCCUUGGGUUCUUUUCCUUUCAAGUACCUAGUAGUGCCCUUGUCAACUAAAAAGUUAUCAUUCCAGCAGUGUAUGCCAAUAGUGAAGAAGAUCAUAGCAAGAGUUAAAUAUUGGUCUUUUAAAACUGUUAUCCUACAGUGGUAGACUUCAGCUAGUUAAGAGUGUUCUCUUUGAAAUGCAAACUUAGUGGGCCCAGAUUUUUCUCCUCCCUAAGAAGAUCCUAACACUAGUGACUACAGUGUGUAGGACUUUCUUAUGGACUGGUAGUAAUAAGUGCUCAAAGAAGGCUCUAGUUGCUUUGGAAAUAAUUUGUAUGCCCAAAACAACAGGUGGCUUAAAUUUCAUUGACCUCAUUAGAUGGAAUAGGGCAGCAAUUUGCAAGCCAUUAUAGGCAGUGGAACAAAAACAAGAUAAGACUAUGGUUCUCUGGAUCCAUGCUUACUAUAUAAAGUCCAACAGUAUUGAUACAAUUCAAACCCCAAAGCAAGCAAGCUGGUUAGUCAGGAAGAUAAUUGAUGCUAGAAAAUGGCUUGAAGGGGCAGGCACUAUACCAACCAAGCUGCAAGUAUAUAGUAGGCCUACAGGAUACUACAAUAAAAAGAGUUACUUGGGAAUGAUGCCUCAGCAUCCCAAAGUUGAAAGGAGCAGACUCGUGUUAGUUCAAGGUCAACUCCCCAGGCAGAAAUUCAUUUUGUGGUUAGCUUUGCAUAGCAGGUUGAAUACUGUUGAUAGAAUACUACAGUGGGGAAAACAGUGACUAUAGACUGUGUGCUGUGUAAAGGACAGAUAAUGGAAACUCCUGACCACCUAUUCUUUGAUUGUCCAUAUUCUUCAAGCAUAUGGACAAGGCUCUUAAAGUGGCUAGGCUACAGAAGGAUCAGAGGAGGCUGGAACCAGGAAAUGGCAUGGCUAACUAAGAAGAUCAGUAAUAAUAGACCUCAAGCAGGAUUGCUUGGAUUCUGCUAUGCUGCAGUAGUUUAUCAAAUCUAGGCUGAAAGAAAUGCUAGAUGAUUCAGAAAUCAGGCAAAAGAGACUACACAAAAACUUCGUGAAAUGGCAUUGCAACUCCAUAUUGCAGGUCAUCAUCCUAAAUGGGGACCAAAGCUACAACAAAUGAACAUGUAUCCUAGCUAGCUGAUUAGUUGUAUGUCUUUAUCUUAUUAAAGCUAGUUUAGAUAUAAUGUAAGCAACUUUGAGACUGCAAAGUUUAAACUUAUAGGAUUAUGAGUAGCCAGUCUGGGUCCAAAAAGACUGGCAUGUUUGUAAUUUUGCACUUUUGGUUAAAUGAAAAAAUUUACGAUUUGACCCAAAAAAAAAGAAUUUUCAAAACCCGAAAAAGUAGAUGCAAUGACGCCCACCCUAUCCCCAGUAAGUUAGACUUCACAUUCAUAAAUAUCUUAAAUAAAUAAAUAUGUAAGAUGGAUAUACUAACGAAUAAAUCAAAGUCGACUUUCAG
rnacentral:lncRNA from 1 species